rnacentral:rRNA from 1 species
UACGAACCGUCCAAACGUUACUCGGAAUCACUGGGCUUAAAGGGUGCGUAGGCCGCUCGGAGGGUGGGAUGUGAAAUCCCCCAGCUCAACUGGGGAAUAGCGUCCCAAACCGCCGGGCUUGAGGGAGACAGAGGUCAGCGGAACUGAUGGUGGAGCGGUGAAAUGCGUUGAUAUCAUCAGGAACACCAGUGGCGAAGGCGGCUGACUGGGUCUUUCCUAACGCUGAGGCACGAAAGCUAGGGGAGCGAACGGG